rnacentral:rRNA from 1 species
GACGAACGCUGGCGGCGUGCUUAACACAUGCAAGUCGAACGGAACUCUUUGGAUCGAGACUUCGGUCAAGUGAAUCUGAGUUUAGUGGCGGACGGGUGAGUAACGCGUGAGGAACCUGCCUUUCAGAGGGGGACAACAGUUGGAAACGACUGCUAAUACCGCAUAACGCAUAUUGAUCGCAUGGUCGAUAUGCCAAAGAUUUAUCGCCGAAAGAUGGCCUCGCGUCUGAUUAGUUAGUUGGUAGGGUAACGGCUCACCAAGUCGACGAUCAGUAGCCGACCUGAGAGGGUGAUCGGCCACAUUGGAACUGAGACACGGUCCAAACUCCUACGGGAGGCAGCAGUGGGGAAUAUUGCACAAUGGGCGAAAGCCUGAUGCAGCAACGCCGCGUGAGCGAUGAAGGCCUUCGGGUCGUAAAGCUCUGUCCUCAAGGAAGAUAAUGACGGUACUUGUAGGAGGAAGCCCGGCUAACUACGUGCCAGCAGCC